AAUCUUCCGCAAUGGACGCAAGUCUGACGGAGCAACGCCGCGUGAGUGAUGAAGGUUUUAGGAUCGUCCCACUCUGUUGUUAGAGAAGAACACGUACCGUUUGAAUAAGGCGGUACUUUGACGGUACCUAACGAGAACGCCCCGGCUCACUACGUGCCAGCAGCCGCGGUAAUACGUAGGGGGCAAGCGUUGUCCGGAAUUAUUUGGCGUAAAGCGCGCGCAGGCGGUCUUGUAAGUCUGAUGUGAAAGACCACGGCUCAACCGUGGAGGGUCAUUGGAAACUGGGAGACUUGAGUGUAGGAGAGGAAAGUGGAAUUCCACGUGUAGCGGUGAAAUGCGUAGAGAUGUGGAGGAACACCAGUGGCGAAGGCGACUUUCUGGUCUGUAACUGACGCUGAGGCGCGAAAGCGUGGGGAGCAAACAGG
rnacentral:rRNA from 1 species